UUAGACGUAAACACAGGUUGCCACGCUACACGCAACCCGCCAGAGGACUACAAGUGAAAAACUUAAAACUCUAAGGACUUGACGGUGUCCUACCCAUACUAGAGGAGCCUGUCCUAUAAUCGAUACCCCACGCUUCACCUUACCCCUCCUAGCCACUCAGCCUAUAUACCGCCGUCGUCAGCCCACACUGUGAACGCACCACCGUAAGCAAAACCAUCACACACAAAUACGACAGGUCAAGGUGUAGUUUAUGGAGGGGCAGCGAUGGGCUACAUUUUCUCUAUUAGAAAACACCCACCGCACCAUGAAACUUAUGCCACAAGGUGGAUUUAGAAGUAAACCAUGGCAAGAUACGCCAAUUUGAACAUUAGCCCUAGGACGC
rnacentral:rRNA from 1 species